rnacentral:rRNA from 1 species
GAUGAACGCUAGCUACAGGCUUAACACAUGCAAGUCGAGGGGUAACGAGAGGAAAGCUUGCUUUCCUUGUCGACGGCCGGCGCACGGGUGAGUAACGCGUAUCCAACCUGCCCCCAACUAGGGAAUAACCUUGCGAAAGUAAGACUAAUACCCUAUAAUUUCCUCAGAUGUCAUCUGACGAGGAAUAAAGAUUUAUCGGUUGUGGAUGGGGACGCGUCUGAUUAGCUUGUUGGCGGGGUAACGGCCCACCAAGGCAACGAUCAGUAGGGGUUCUGAGAGGAAGGUCCCCCACAUUGGAACUGAGACACGGUCCAAACUCCUACGGGAGGCAGCAGUGAGGAAUAUUGGUCAAUGGGCGGAAGCCUGAACCAGCCAAGUAGCGUGCAGGAUGACGGCCCUAUGGGUUGUAAACUGCUUUUAUACAGGAAUAAAGUUAGCCACGUGUGGUUAUUUGUAGGUACUGUAUGAAUAAGGACCGGCUAAUUCCGUGCCAGCAGCCGCAGUAA